rnacentral:misc_RNA from 1 species
UAAUUGUGAUCUAUCGAUAACGUGGCAUAAAGUAGAUUUGGACUGCAAAAUUUUUUUCCCUUUCAUUAAAAUCGAUAUUAUGUCUGUCUAGAAUGAACUUAAUAAUAUUGGAAUCUACAUUUUAAUAGCAUGAGGUAUUAAAGUUGAAUUAAAACUCAAUUAAAGUUAAACAAAUAAUAAGUAUUUUGUUACUUGUGAAGGAUUUGUUUCAAUAAACAAUAGGACAAUGGAAUAAUAGGC